CACAAUGACCUAAUCAAAAUAAUAAAACAUUGAAAAUUCCCGCCACUCUAUCUCUAGUCCAACGCUAUUGCUAUAAACUUUUUGUUGUUGCCAACGAGCAACAUUCUAUUAUCAUAAAAAUACAGACACACGCACACGCGUUAGAGGCGCCUCUUGUUAUAAAUAGCGCUCCAGCUGAAUGAAAUUAACAUUGAAAAUUCUAAGGCGCUGGCGUUUGUCUAAAUCAGCAAACAAAAAAAUGCCGAAGGGGUCAAAAAGCAAAGCGCUUGGCAGUCAAACAGGCAGCUGCCUUCAAUUAAUUUAAGUGCAAAAUUUUUUCAUUACCAACGCCGCCAAAAACAAAAGCGAAGCAUGAACGGAAUGUGCCUCACACCCCCUAGCCUAGGUAAAAAGGCAGAUGCUUUAUAGCCAAUGUUGACCGUUGCCACUUUUGGUGGCAUGCGUCAGUUGCUAUUCAUGUUAAUCGUCAACACGUGCAAAAAAAGGCUAAAAUAAGCAGUCAAGACACUCCUAGAAUAUGGCCAAGCUGCAAAAUUAAAGGCCCGUCCGUUUGUGCUUUAUAAUUUAUUUGAUUUUAGUGCUGAUCGUACGAUAAGCUGGCAGUUGUUGCUACCGCUAAAUGUGGCAAGAGCGUCUAACAUUUAUAUAACCAAUUGGAAGUCAAGUGCGUGAGUCAGUGAAUCUUACAAACUGUAACGGCAGCGAAGAUAAGCAACAAAAUUCUAAUCAAUACUUUUGGGUAAUUUGAGCCAAGGCACUUGGGAAUUAUUUAACUGCGUGGGAAGGUCUUUACACUCUCAAGCGUGUGUGUGUGUGUGUGUGGGUUUAUCUACAGUUUGUAAUGCGAUUCUUUUGGCUACGAAUUAUGGCAAAUGCCACUUGACUUGUUAAGUGCUGCGUCUUUAGUUUAAACUGCAUGCAAUCGACUGUUUUUUCUCAUGAGAAUUCGUCGUAAGUAGCAGCAGCAGCAGCUCAUG